rnacentral:rRNA from 1 species
AACGAACGCUGGCGGCAGGCUUAACACAUGCAAGUCGAGCGACCCGCAAGGGGAGCGGCAGACGGGUGAGUAACGCGUGGGGAUCUACCCAUCCCUACGGAAUAGCUCCGGGAAACUGGAAUUAAUACCGUAUACGCCCUACGGGGGAAAGAUGUAUCGGGGAUGGAUGAGCCCGCGUUGGAUUAGCUAGUUGGUGGGGUAAAGGCCUACCAAGGCGACGAUCCAUAGCUGGUCUGAGAGGAUGAUCAGCCACAUUGGGACUGAGACACGGCCCAAACUCCUACGGGAGGCAGCAGUGGGGAAUAUUGGACAAUGGGGGCAACCCUGAUCCAGCCAUGCCGCGUGAGUUAUGAAGGCCUUAGGGUUGUAAAGCUCUUUCACCGGGGAAGAUAAUGACGGUACCCGGAGAAGAAGCCCCGGCUAACUUCGUGCCAGCAGCCGCCGUAA